rnacentral:misc_RNA from 1 species
GAACGCAGCUGGCACUCUUUGGCUAUCCAAAGAGUAUACCUGUUUGAGUAUCAUGUACACCAUCUUUAAACCUCUUUGGUUUGAAGGAUUAUGAGUUUUACCCACCUUUGGGAGGGUCAACUUGAAAUGCAUGGUCAAACUGAAGACCAGAACCUUGCUAAUUGAAAUAAUUUGGCAUAAUUCUAGUCAUCAAAAGGUUUGACCCCAAAAACCAUAAUUUAAACAUUAUUGAUCUCAAAUCAGGCAGGAUUACCCGCUGAAUUUAAG